CGCUGGCGGCGUGCCUAACACAUGCAAGUCGAGCGAGGAGAUCCUUCGGGAUGAUCCUAGCGGCGGACGGGUGAGUAACACGUGGGCAACCUGCCUCAUAGAGAGGAAUAGCCUUCCGAAAGGGAGAUUAAUACCUCAUAACAUUGCAGUUUCGCAUGGAACAGCAAUUAAAGGAGCAAUCCGCUAUGAGAUGGGCCCGCGGCGCAUUAGCUAGUUGGUGAGGUAACGGCUCACCCAAGGCGACGAUGCGUAGCCGACCUGAGAGGGUGAUCGGCCACAUUGGGACUGAGACACGGCCCAGACUCCUACGGGAGGCAGCAGUGGGGAAUAUUGCACAAUGGGGGAAACCCUGAUGCAGGCCAACGCCGCGUGAGUGAUGACGGCCUUCGGGUUGUAAAGCUCUGUCUUCAGGGACGAUAAUGACGGUACCUGAGGAGGAAGCCACGGCUAACUACGUGCCAGCAGCUGC
rnacentral:rRNA from 1 species